GACGAACGCUGGCGGCGUGCCUAAUACAUGCAAGUCGAACGCAGUGGGGACGGGUGAGUAACACGUGGGUAACCUCCCAUCAGAGGGGAUAACACUUGGAAACAGGUGCUAAACCGAUCCUGAUGGAUGGACCCGCGGUGCAUUAGCUAGUUGGUGAGGUAACGGCUCACCAAGGCCACGCUGCAUAGCGGACCUGAAGGAGGGAUCGGCAAAACUGGGACGGAGACACGGCCCAGACUCCUACGGGAGGCAGCAGUAGGGAAUCUUCGGCAAUGGAGGAAAGUCUGACCGAGCAACGCCGCGUGAGUGAAGAGGGUUUUCGGAUCGAAAAUCUCUGUAGUUAGAGAAGCGGUAUCUAACCAGAAAGCCACGGCUAACUACGGGCCAGCAGCCGCGGUAUAC
rnacentral:rRNA from 1 species